ACAGUGGUUCCCACGGUUGUCUUAGAAACCAGUCCCCGAGGCUUGGCAGAGCAGGAGCCCUCCGUGGCAGUGCUUGGGUGUGGAGGCUCUGAGGCUCCGGCCUCAUCUCUCCUCGGGGUCGAAGGGAAAGUUUGCGGAUGCCAGGAGUCGCAAAGGGCCGACCACGAUGAUGAAACCCCAGGCAGAGUCAGGGGAAGCAGCACGGGAUCCCAGCCUCAGGCCUGCACGGACGGUGUUGGUUGGGGGAGGCCCUGACAGCCUGACCAGAAGUGGUGAGCCCAUCCUAUCUCACUCGGAGGGGGCCAAAAUCUGAUCUCAACGGGAGUUCCGAGAACACAGCAGGCGUCCUGAAACUCCCCCUCCCUCGGGGGAAGUCGGCUCAAGCAGGUCCGGAGGACAGUACCCCUGGAGGUUUGGGCCUGGGACAGGACCAGACACCCGCGGCCCCCUCUCCCACACCGCCCCAAACAGGAAACAGGAUCCAGCCGCCGCCGCGGCGGCAGCAGGAGCAUCGCGGCCGCCGCGCGGCGGUGGGAACAUUUAAAGGGGACGCAGCCUAUCUGUCAGGAGUGGAGCGCGAUUCGGCUCAGCCAAUGCGCAUGCGCGCGGCGCCAGCUUUCUUUAGUGGAGCGCGAGUCGGCUGAGCCAAUGCGCAUGCGCGAGGCGCCAGCGGUUUCUUCCGUCAGUGGUUCCCACGGUUGUCUUAGAAACCAGUCCCCGAGGCUUGGCAGAGCAGGAGCCCUCCGUGGCAGUGCUUGGGUGUGGAGGCUCUGAGGCUCCGGCCUCAUCCCUCCUCGGGGUCGAAGGGAACGUUUGCGGAUGCCAGGAGUCGCAAAGGGCUGACCACGAUGAUGAAACCCCAGGCAGAGUCGGGGGAAGGAGCACGGGAUCCCAGCCUCAGGCCUGCACGGACGGUGUUGGUUGGGCGAGGCCCUGCCGGCCUGACCAGAAGUGGUGAGCCCAUCCUAUCUCACUCGGAGGGGGCCAAAAUCGGAUCUCAACGGGAGUUCGGAGAACACAGCAGGCGUCCUGAAGCUCCCCCUCCCUCGGUGGAAGUCGGCUCAAGCAGGUCCGGAGGACAGUACCCCUGGGGGUUUGGGCCUGGGUCAGGACGAGACACCCGCAGCCCCCUCUCCCACACCGCCCCAAACAGGACCCAGGAUCCAGCCACCGCCGCUGCGGCGGCAGGAGCAUCGCGGCCGCCGUGCGGCAGUGGCAACAUUUAAAGGGGACGCAGCCUAUCUGUCAGGAGUGGAGCGCGAUUCGGCUCAGCCAAUGUGCAUGCGCGAGGCGCCAGCGGUUUCUCCCGUCACAGUGGUUCCCACGGUUGUCUUAGAAACCAGUCCCCUAGGCUUGGCAGAGCGGGAGUCCUACGUGGCAGUGCUUCGGUGUGGAGGCUCUGAGGCUCCGGCUUCAUCUCUCCUCGGGGUCGAAGGGAAAGUUUGCGGAGGCCUGGAGUCGCAAAGGGCCGACCACGAUGAUGAAACCCCAGGCAGAGUCGGGGGAAGGAGCACGGGAUCCCAGCCUCAGGCCUGCACGGACGGUGUUGGUUGGGGCAUUUGAAAACGUGGCUUGAGUCAGGCACAGGCGGCUCCUCCACGUCCCGAGUCCCAGGUGUUCUUUGAUUUUCCCUGGCAUUGAUGGAAAGGUAACCCGUUUCCCCCUUCCACUGGCACAUGCCUGGAACCGACCCUUUGCUUUGCCGUUGCCCGGUAUGCCUCCGGUGACACACAUUAUCACCAACUGCUGUAGGAUUGUCCAGUGCCACGCGUGGUCGCAUGGUCUCGCCCUCGGAUUCACCUCUGUUCUUUGCAGGUGUCCUGUAAAGCGCGGUCGGCUUUCCGGAACCCCAGGGCUUUUACAAGCGGGGCAGGCCACUGGUCUUUCAAACGAGGAGGGAGGCAGAGGGCUGAUGCAUGAGUGAAUUUGCAGCUCACACUAGGCCUUGAGACCUAUGGGAUCAUUCUGUGCUGCAGCGAGGCCCUACCGGCCUGACCAGAUGUGGUGAGCCCAUCCUGUCUCACUCGGAGGGGGCCAAAAUCGGAUCUCAACGGGAGUUCGGAGAACACAGCAGGCGUCCUGAAGCUCCCCCUCCCUCGGUGGAAGUCGGCUCAAGCUGGUCCUGAGUACAGGACCCCUGAGUGUUUGGGCCUGGGACAGGACGAGACUCCCGCGGCCCCCUCUCCCUCCCCGCCCCAAACAGGACCCAGGUUCCAGCUGCCUCUGUAGCGGCAGCAGGAGCAUCGCGGCUGCCUCGCAGCGGUGGCGAUAUUUAAAGAGGACGCAGACUAUCUGUCAGGAGUGGAGCUCUAAUCGCCUCGGCCAAUGCGAAUGCGGGAGGCGGAGCGGUUUCUCCUCUCACAGGUGUUCCCCGGGUUGUCUUAGAAACCAGUCCCCGAGGCUUGGCAGAGCAGGAGCCCUCCGUGGCAGAGCUUUGGUGUCCAGGCUCUGUGGUUCCGGCCUCACCUCUCCACGGGUUCAAAGGCAACGUCUGCGGAUGACAGGAGUCGCAAAGGGCCAAACAUGAUGAUGAAACCCCAGGCGGAUUCGGGGGAAGCAGCACGGGAUCCCAGCCUGAGGCCUGCACGAACGGUGUUGAGUUGGGUGAGUCUCCCCAAUAGUCGUGCCACCUUCCGUGAUCUCGAGCACGGGUCGGCCUGCGUGCCGCUGGGCUGCUCUCUCACCCGAGGGUCGUUCUCAUCGUGAGGAGAACUCGGCAGCCUCAGGGGUUGCCUGGUGGUGUGUGUUUCAGUUUCUCUGCUUUAUGACUCUGUGUGUGUGUGUGUGUGUGUUUGUGUGUGUGUGUGUGUGUCUCCCAUUCUCUCUUCUCUGUCUCUCAGUCUCUGUGUGUUUCUUUCCCUCUCUCUGUGGGUUUGUGUGUGUGUGCCCGUUUGCGUGUUUGUCUUUGGCUUAAUGUGCCCUGUGCGCCACAUAGCGGUUUUUCGCAUGGCGGCCUGUCUUUGUUGAGCCUCUUUCUGCGUGUCUUCCUGUGUCAUGGGGCCGGUUGUCAAUCGUUUUUGCUGCCGCGGAUCCGCUUUGUCUCUGUGAAAGCCUGGCCCACGUGAGGAGAUGCGUCAGUCUCUGAGCAAUUGAAGUCUCAUCCCCAUCCUGAGCAGCCUCUUUUCUGGCAUCAAAGUGAACACACUGCAGACGAGGAGAAGAGCCCCACAGGAGCUCUUUGUCCUACAGGAGAGCAGCGGACGCACAUCAGAGAAGAUGCUUGAGUCUUUUCACGGCUCUUCUCUGAGAAAUGAAGCCACACCACGAUACAGUCAGCAAGAGGAAGCCGGGAAUGAGAGAUGGCAACAAUCCCUGUCCCUGGAACGCUGGCCUCCCUCAACAAGCAACCCUUUUGGAACCCCACGCCUUAUGCCCGUGGCGGUAGCACGGUGCCGUAUCCUGUCUGGGCUCCGACCUCUGCUCCGUCCUCCACCAUGCUCUGUGUUCCCUGUUUCUCAGGGUCCUGGAUGCCUCUCGCUCUGGCCAAAUGCCUUCAACAAAGACGACUUCCCACUCCGUCAGAGAGACACUUCCUUGAGUUCCGUGUCGUGAUUGUUUCUCUCUCCAAACGUGUUUCUGCUUGAUUGGGCAGGUCUCAUGACCCGGGAACUCUUGGCUUCCAUGGGACAGGUGGUGUCGCAUUUCCUCUGGACUUCCUGUCUCAUUCUUGAGGGACAUCCUCUCCUCUGCUCAUGGGUGGACUGAAUCCCUUGAUCAUCUGGCCGAAAAGAAUGUCAGGAGAACGACCCUCGGGUGAGAGAGCAGCUCAGGGGCGCGCAGGCCGACCUGUCCUAGAGAUCACUGACGGAGGCACGAGUUUUGGGGAGACUCACCCCAACCAACACCGUCCAGGCAGACCUGAGGCUUGGAUCCCGUGCUGCUUCCCCCGUCUCCGCUGGGAUUUCCUCAUGGUAGUCGGCCCUUUGCGACUCCUGGCAUCUGGGGACAUUCCCGUCGACCCCGUGAAGAGGUUAAGCCGGAGCCUCAGAG